AAGUCGUAACAAGGUUUCCGUAGGUGAACCUGCGGAAGGAUCAUUAAAAGAGAUAUCUUAUCACCUAAAGUUUUUUUCCUUCGGGGGAAUUCUUUAGUGAUAAACCUCUCCACCCCUUGCUUAUUAUACCAAUUGUUGCUUUGGCGAGUCGCGGAAAGAUUAGACUUUUGUUUAUUUUUCCCCAUUGGCUUUCUAGCUGAUGAGCUUUGCUCGCCAAUAGCCAAAAAUUUAAAACCUUGAAAUAUCUAUUGAAGUCUGAAUUUAUACUAUGAAAAUAGCCUAAAACUUUCAACAACGGAUCUCUUGGUUCUG
rnacentral:misc_RNA from 1 species